rnacentral:rRNA from 1 species
GUAUGGGGCAAGCGUUGUUCGGAUUCACUGGGCGUAAAGGGCGUGUAGGCGGUGUGGGUAAGUCGGAUGUGAAAUCUCCAGGGCUCAACCUGGAAACUGCAUUCGAAACUGCCAUGCUUGAGUACCGGAGAGGGAAACGGAAUUCCUGGUGUAGGGGUGAAAUCUGUAGAUAUCAGGAAGAACACCGGUGGCGAAGGCGGUUUCCUGGCCGGAUACUGACGCUGAGGCGCGAAAGCUAGGGGAGCAAACAGGAUUAGAUACCCUGGUAGUCCUAGCUGUAAACGUUGUGCACUAGGUGUAAGUGGUUUCAACCCACUUGUGCCGUAGCUAACGCAUUAAGUGCACCGCCUGGGGAGUAUGCUCGCAAGGGUG